rnacentral:rRNA from 1 species
GACGAACGCUGGCGGCGUGCUUAACACAUGCAAGUCGAACGAUGAUGCCCAGCUUGCUGGGCGGAUUAGUGGCGAACGGGUGAGUAACACGUGAGUAACCUGCCCUUGACUUCGGGAUAACUCCGGGAAACCGGGGCUAAUACCGGAUAUGAGCCGUCCUCGCAUGGGGGUGGUUGGAAAGUUUUUCGGUCAGGGAUGGGCUCGCGGCCUAUCAGCUUGUUGGUGGGGUGAUGGCCUACCAAGGCGACGACGGGUAGCCGGCCUGAGAGGGCGACCGGCCACACUGGGACUGAGACACGGCCCAGACUCCUACGGGAGGCAGCAGUGGGGAAUAUUGCACAAUGGGCGAAAGCCUGAUGCAGCGACGCCGCGUGAGGGAUGAAGGCCUUCGGGUUGUAAACCUCUUUCAGCAGGGAAGAAGCGCAAGUGACGGUACCUGCAGAAGAAGCGCCGGCUAACUACGUGCCAGCAGCCGCGGUAAUACGUAGGGCGCAAGCGUUGUCCGGAAUUAUUGGGCGUAAAGAGCUCGUAGGCGGUUUGCCGCGUCUGGUGUGAAAACUCGAGGCUCAACCUCGAGCUUGCAUCGGGUACGGGCAGACUAGAGUGCGGUAGGGGAGACUGGAAUUCCUGGUGUAGCGGUGGAAUGCGCAGAUAUCAGGAGGAACACCGAUGGCGAAGGCAGGUCUCUGGGCCGCAACUGACGCUGAGGAGCGAAAGCAUGGGGAGCGAACAGG